rnacentral:rRNA from 1 species
GACGAACGCUGGCGGCGUGCUUUACACAUGCAAGUCGAACGGUAAGGCCCUUCGGGGUACACGAGUGGCGAACGGGUGAGUAACACGUGGGUGAUCUGCCCUGCACUUCGGGAUAAGCCUGGGAAACUGGGUCUAAUACCGGAUAGGACCACUGCCUGCAUGGGUGGUGGUGGAAAGCUUUUGCGGUGUGGGAUGGGCCCGCGGGCUAUCAGCUUGUUGGUGGGGUGAUGGCCUACCCAGGCGACGACGGGUAGCCGGCCUGAGAGGGUGACCGGCCACACUGGGACUGAGAUGCGGCCCAGACUCCUACGGGAGGCAGCAGUGGGGAAUAUUGCACAAUGGGCGCAAGCCUGAUGCAGCGACGCCGCGUGAGGGAUGACGGCCUUCGGGUUGUAAACCUCUUUCAGCACCGACGAAGCGCAAGUGACGGUAGGUGCAGAAGAAGGACCGGCCAACUACGUGCCAGCCGCCGCCGUAA